rnacentral:rRNA from 1 species
AAUGAACGCUGGCGGCGCGCCUAAUACAUGCAAGUCGAGCGAGAAGACGUAGCAAUACGUUUGUAAAGCGGCGAACGGGUGAGGAAUACAUGGGUAACCUGCCCUCGAGUGGGGAAUAACUAGCCGAAAGGUUAGCUAAUACCGCGUACGCUCCUUGGACUUCGGUUCAGGGAGGAAAGCGAUACCGUGGGUAUCGCGCUCUUGGUUGGGCUCAUGUCCUAUCAGCUUGUUGGUGAGGUAACGGCUCACCAAGGCUUCGACGGGUAGCUGGUCUGAGAGGACGAUCAGCCACACUGGCACUGCGACACGGGCCAGACUCCUACGGGAGCAGCAGUAAGGAAUAUUGCGCAAUGGGCGAAAGCCUGACGCAGCGACGCCGC